CUUCCUUCUGACCCACACACACUCCUGCCCUUCGCUUCCAUGAGGGCCUGCCGGGUCUUACCAGCGCAUAUUCGACCUGCAGCGUCUGGCGUACCUGGCCUACGCCGUGCCUUGGUUCGGAUACCUGUGACCGAACCCGGUACCUGCUAGAAUCCUCUUGCACGUAUGGAUUCCUCUUUCUAGUACCGUGGUUUCUGCCUGCUGCCGCUAGUGGUCACCUUAUCUACGCCCCAUGGAGCUGAGUCGUCCCGGUUGUGCCCACGAUGGACGUAUGGCCUGUCCUGUGUGAACGCCAGCUACCUCUCGGCGAGGCUAUAAGGACCCUAUCUAUGUCUUCUGCCACCACCUGCUCACAGGAGUGUCGCGCUGUCGAGGCUUACUCCCGCACUUCAUCUCAUCCAUUGUUUGUGUGUGAAUGACUUGUGUGAAUGAGGGUUGUGUGAAAGUUGGGGUGUGAGUGUUUUGCUUAGGUGUUGUUUGUGAAAUAUAUUGAUUGUUAUUUUC